AACGGCCAUACCAUGCUGAAUAUACCGGUUCUUGUUAGAGAAGUCAAGCAUCAUUGGGCGCGGCCAGUACUUGGGUGGGUGACCACCUGGGAGCACCGCGUGUCGUU
rnacentral:rRNA from 1 species